UAUGGAUACUAGUUGUUCGAGCUACAUUGGUAGUUUGAGUGACUAAGCGAAAGUGAUAAGUAUCCCACCUGGGGAGUACGUUCGCAAGAAUGAAACUCAAAGGAAUUGACGGGGGCCCGCACAAGCGGUGGAGCAUGUGGUUUAAUUCGAUGAUACGCGAGGAACCUUACCAGGGCUUAAAUGUAGAUUGGCAGAGGUGGAAACACUUCCUUCUUCGGACAAUUUACAAGGUGCUGCAUGGUUGUCGUCAGCUCGUGCCGUGAGGUGUCAGGUUAAGUCCUAUAACGAGCGCAACCCCUGUCGUUAGUUGCCAGCGAGUCAUGUCGGGAACUCUAACGAGACUGCCAGUGCAAACUGUGAGGAAGGUGGGGACGACGUCAAAUCAUCACGGCCCUUACGUCCUGGGCUACACACGUGCUACAAUGGUAGGGACAAAGAGCAGCCACUGGGUGACCAGGAGCGAAUCUUCAAACCCUAUCUCAGUUCGGAUCGAAGUCUGCAACUCGACUUCGUGAAGCUGGAAUCGCUAGUAAUCGCAGAUCAGCCAUGCUGCGGUGAAUACGUUCCCGGGCCUUGUACACACCGCCCGUCAAGCCAUGGAAGUUGGGAGUACCUGAAGUCGGUGACUUUAUGGGGAGCUGCCUAGGGUAAAACCAAUGACUGGGGCUAAGUCGUAACAAGGUAGCA
rnacentral:rRNA from 1 species